ACGGCGCGACGAAGGACUUCAUCCGUGGGUUUGGCGGUAAGCAUCGGCUAGGCGUCUGCUAGUCCUUGUUGUGUGGCUGUAAGUAUUGUACUUAGCCGCUAAUACACCGAUCGAUCCCACCUACAACGUUCUUCUUUGCAGCCUCCAUUGUUCAUUAAACAAAUUGCAAAAGAUUCACCAACACAGAUGUCCAGAAUACUGUGGAAUUUUGUCGAAGAAAACAAGAGGUUUUUGUUGGGGCGGUAUAGCUUGGUUGGUAGAGCAGCCGUGCCAGCAACUUGAGGGUUGCAGGUUCGAUCCCCGCUUCUGCCAUCCUAGUCACUGCCGUUGUGUCCUUGGGCAAGACACUUUACCCACCUGCUCCCAGUGCCACCCACACUGGUUUAAAUGUAACUUAGAUAUUGGGUUUCACAAUGUAAAGCGCUUUGAGUCACUUGAGAAAAAGCGCUAUAUAAAUGUAAUUCACUUCACUUCACUUCACUUUUUGUAUCCAGUCCGAUGUGGUCCAACCACUUCCGUGGAUUUUGUGACGUCACGCGCAUAAAUCAUACCCAAAGGAGUUUUUCAACCGGAAGUGUGGCGGGAAUUUUAAAAUUGCACUUUAUAAGUUAACCCGGCCUAUUGGCAUGUGUUUCAAUGUUAAGAUUUCAUCAUUGAUAUAUAAACUAUCAGACUGCGUGGUCGGUAGUAGUGGCUUUCAGUAGGCCUUUAAGUAAACCUUCACUGCUGUACAAGGACUACUCUAAAGCAUACCCAGGUGUACUUGCUUUUUUGUCCAUUGAGAGGAUGUAGAGUAAGAAAAAGUAGACGUUUGUACUAUUCCUUUGUCGACACGGAGCGGCGUUUCAUCUCGCACGCACACACGCGGUGUAGAGUGCACAAGUGCGUAUUAAAGCAUACGCGCCUGCUGCCUUGAUAUCUAGUGAACAUUCUCUUUGUUCCCCGCGGAAAGCUCCAUGCCUUCUUACAAGACGCACGCUGUUAACACCAAACGCUUACAGCGUAAAACGUCCUCCAGCUUGCAUGAACAUCUACAAUUACAACAGUUUAUUAUAUUUAAAGCACUAAGUCAGCCUUUGAUAAGACUGACAGUUGUUCUAAAUUAGGACACACUGAACUUGUCCCGUCCCAAAGAGCACUCUUUGCUUUUAAUCAUAAAAGACAAUAAGCUGUUUGUUUGUGUAUUUAUACAUCCAAUCAAAUACCUCCAUGUCUCAUGUGACCGCUUGGUAUAUUUACUUUAGACGAUAGAUAGCGGACAUAUGACAAAAUCAGAAAUAGAUCUGAAGCGCUUGCUAAUUUGGUAUUUGCCGUCUUUCCUACGGCGCUCGUUCGCACCCCAGUUGUCUUGUUCAUGCAGUGGCUCCGCCCACUCAGGUAGACGCAUGCCUUCAUCCUCUCAUCCUCGCUCACUUGGAGACAACACUGCAGGGCUUCACUUCUCACCUCAACAGCGAUGCCGGGGUCGUCUCUCUUGGGUCGUCCGAAGCGAGAGAACGUUCGCCUUUAUCCUGCGGAGUACGCAGCAGAAGAAACAGACGCUAACGGGGACUCCUGCAGCAGUUUGGACGGUCUUCACCCUAAACAGGUCUUCCUCCCCAUGAUGGUUCCUCAUCAGGUGACACAGCUCCUGUCCUCAAGUCAGCUGCAGGCUCUUCUCCUCCAGCAGCAUCGUCUGAAAGAGUUGUACAAGAAACAGCAGCAGAUCCACGUGCAGUUGCUCCAGCAACAGACGGGCAAGAGAAGCAAAGAGCUCCUCGCACAUCAUUUAGCCUUGCAGCAGCUACUCCACGUCCAGCCGCAGCAGCAGGCCCUUUGCUGCCCUGCAGUGUCGCUGUCAGCUGCUUUCAGCUCCGUGCACUGCAAGCAUGCUUGGAAGGAGACGGACAGCGGAGGAGCAGAGGACGAAGAAGGAGAUAGGAAGACCGAGACGGUCUGCCAGGGAGAGACAAGUGACGUCCCGUCGUCCUACCCCUGCAGCACUCCAGCUGACUUAACCGUCACAGGCGUCCUCUACGGUCACGGCGUGUGCAACUGGCCGGGAUGCGAGUCUGUCUGCCAUAACCUCCGACAGUUUAUAAAGCACAUGCGCUGCGAGCACACACUAGACGACAGAAGCACGGCUCAGUGCAGAGUCCAGAUGCAAGUGGUUCAUCAGCUGGAGAUUCAGCUCCGCAAAGAACGAGAGCGCCUGCGAGCGAUGACGGCUCACCUGCUACUUCCUGCUGCGGAUCCCCACUCGGCUCCGGCAGGACCACCUCCGACACCAUGUGAUCUGUCAGCUGAACCGCUCUGUCGGCAGCCCUCACCGAGUCCGUCACAUGGCGCCCGGGUGUCCCCCCUGCCUCUUGCCAACAUCAACUCCCAGUCGCAGAAGGAGUCCUGCCCCAUGUCGCGUGUUGAGGCGGUGAGACGCCGCCAUCACCCGUCCUUCUACUCUGCAGAAAAUGAACACGCGCUCUACAAGGACGCUGAUAUCAGACCACCGUUUACGUACGCAACCUUGAUAAGACAGGCCAUCAUGGCGUCACCAGACAAGCAGCUCACACUCAACGAAAUCUACAACUGGUUCACUCGGACCUUCGCUUAUUUCAGACGCAACGCCGCAACCUGGAAGAACGCGGUGCGCCACAACUUGAGCUUGCACCGCUGCUUCGUAAGAAUGGAGACCGCCAAGGGCGCGGUGUGGACGGUGGACGAGGUGGAGUACCAGCGCAGGAGGUCCCAGAAGAUGACGGGGAGUCCGCCUUUGAUGAAGAGCGGCCAUUUUGGGUCCGUUUUUUAAAACACCAGCUGACAGACGCCGUUUACUGACGUGACAUUGUCUAGUUUCUGGAAACGACAAACGGACACGAGUCCAGCAGUACGCUUUGGAAAUGUGACCGAACGGUAAAUAAUGGCGGUCUACAGCUGGGCGUGAUACAAAAUGGCGACCAGAAGGACUCAUUAAGACUCAUUAAGACUCAAAUAUUGUCAUUAAAAUAUUCAUAUUGUGGCAUAAAAUAUGCUACAAGUAGAGAUAUUGGUUGGAAAUGGAGAGCUGUAGUUUGCGUACAAUUUUAUUUACGUCUUAAAGAAAACUGGGUAUUUUAUUGACAUAUUUUAUUCACAUUUGUCAAUUUUCAUCUCACUUUUUUGUGGUUUUAGGGACCAAACUAAAUGUAUAUAAAAAUAAAAGUUGAAAAUUCUAAAUAAAAUCAGGUGAUGCUACUCAUAUUGAAGUGUGUAUAUAACUACUGUACAAUCUCAUGUGCUAUCAUGAUUUUUUUAAAUCUAUUUGAGUAUUUGUGUACACUUUAAUUGUAGUACAAACUGUGAUGAACAUUGAAAUUUGAUUGAUUAAAAAUCACUACUUUUUAAUGUGCGCCUCUAAUAA